rnacentral:rRNA from 1 species
GACGAACGCUGGCGGCGUGCCUAAUACAUGCAAGUAGGACGCAGUUGCGAACGGGUGAGUAACGCGUAGGUUACUGCCUAUUAGAGGGGGAUAACUAUUGGAAACGAUAGCUAAUACCGCAUACUAGUAGAUGGAUCUGCGUUGUAUUAGCUAGUAGGUAGGGUAAUGGCCUACCUAGGCGAAGGUACAUCGCCGACCUGGGAGGGUGAUCGGCCACAAGGGGACUUAGACACGGGCCAGACUCCUUCGGGAGGGAGCAGUAGGGAAACUUCGGCAAUGGGGGGAAACCUGAACGGGCAACGCCGCGUGAGUGGAGAAGGUUUUCGGGUCGUAAAGCUCUGUUGUUGAGGAAGCGGUACUUAACCAGAAAGGGACGGCUAACUACGUGCCAGCAGCCGCGGUAAUUC